GACCUCGUGGUGCAAUGGUAGUGCGUCUGACUCCAGAUCAGAAGGGUGCGUGUUGAAAUCACGUCGGGGUCA
rnacentral:tRNA from 1 species